CUUAAUCUGCGGUAAAAGGAAAUAAAUAUCAUGGUUAACCAAAAAAAUCAAUCACAAAUAACAAAACAAUACAAUAUAACCUAACAGAACCAGAAAAUAUCAUUUGCUAUAAAAUAAAGAAAGCAGCGCCAACAAAGAGUAAGGUUACUUUACUCUUUGAGCGCCAAAGUGAAGUGUGAUUAAGGGUUAACAGCAAAGAUUAUACCCGCCAUCUUGUCUCUUAUUUUAUCAACUUUAAGAUCUUCAUUUUUAAUAAAUGUUAUUAUUCCAGUUUUAAGAAACGGUUAGACAGUAACAUCUAAAUUUUUCAAAUGAAAACGUCUGACAACCCAAAAGGUAAGAGCUUUGAUUCAACAGUGACUUUUAACGAUUUUUGUGUUUUGUAAAAAUGUGAUUACACCUUUUUAAUGUCAGUUUUUGGCUCAUUUUUCAAUCCUCUCAGAGACAAUUGUCGGUAAGCCUGUUUACAGUAGCAGAAAGAUUCUGGUUGUAAGCAAACAAAGUCUGGUAAAGCUGGUAUUUAGUCAUUACAUCAAACUUUUUCUCGCUUAACCAUUCAUUCAUUACCAAAAAUAUGAAGGUAAAAAAAUUAAUUUCAUGCUAAUGGCUGUUUAUGUGCUUCAAGUGAAAAGGAUUCAACGAAAGGAAAAGGGGAAAAAGGACUGAAUUUGUAUUCAGAAUAUUAAAAAAGCAUCAAAAUAACCGGAAGAAAGGCAUUGUGCAAAUUCCGGGUAUCGAGGAUGCCUUUUAAUGUGAAAUAUGAAUGCCUAUGGAACAAAAUGAAACAUCAAAAUUAGUGCCAAAAAAGAGACCAAAAGACACUUGAAGAAGCUUGGAACCCAACUGGACUGGCUAUUAUUUUCUGGUUUUUUCUGGUUCACUUGUUUUUACAACAUAAAUAACAAUGUCAUUUCAAAUGAUAUCAUCUUGUAACACUUUGUUACUCUUGUAGUUGAUAUAUUUGAUGUUUAAACAAUAUUUAUCGGUAAACGCAUAUUUUUUGCUCAAAUUUGAACCUUUUUUUCAAAUAACCAAUGUUAUGUUACCAAUGUACAUUUGUAAUAAUUUGACAAAGCCUUUAAUCUUUUGAAAAUCAUAACUUGUACAGUUUUUUCAUGUUCAACUGAGGGGUUAAAGAUGAUUAAUACCUGAGAUUUAUUGUUAUGUGAUCAAACAUUUUCAUGCAAUUGUUUUACAUGUAAACGGUAUAUUUAUUUUUAGUUAAACAUGUUAUACUUUAACCUUUUUUCUUUACAUUGUAUUACAUGCAACAAUAUUCAAUUAUUAACUGCCUUCGAGCAAAGGUAACUAAUAUUUUUAACUAUUUAGUAGUAUGUAAACUGUGCAAUUGUAAACUCGAAAUGUUUUGGUAAAGAGUUAAUCAAUUGGAAAGGAAGGAAAAGUGGAACAAAUUAAUUCAACCAGUCAAUUAGACUACAAUUUCAAUAAUUGCCUCAAGGUCAACAAUGCAGUUAAUUACAAUCGAGAUAAAUUCCAUCAACUUUGCAUAUUUGGAAAACCUGGAGUUUUCAAAGCUUAUCAACCCAUAAUCGAGUCAUAAUCAUAACCAGAGAUGCUAAUCACUAUACUACCAGAGAAGAUUCAAAAUGAGUUCAAGUCUAUUCAUGCUUGUGAUAAAUGUAAAUCGAAAAGCUUGAUUUUACACAUUAUUGACAUUGAAGAAUAUUCAAUGUCUGUACUUUGAAAUGCAAAAGUGUCAUGGCAUUUGUUUGAAAACAGUCUGUCGUAAAGUCUAAAUGAAGUUGAUUAAUCCCGCUAUUUAAAGUGUUCAACUUCCGAUCAACAAUGUCUCUUCUCGAAGCUAAUUCAGCAAGUAGUCAUUUGUAAAUAAUUACAGUGUACAGUUUGACAAUAAGUAGACAUAAAUAAACUUAUCAGCCAAAUUCCUUCCCUUGUACCAUUUCCUUCCAACAAAACUAUUCACCAAAACGAUAAUAAAUGUACUAAUACAACUGCUGUGAAGGACAAGAAAAAAAUACUGUAAAUGGGGAAAUUAAACAAACAGAUUAUCAUGAGAAAAUCUCCUCGACUGAUUCAGUUGUAAAUCGU